UGAGGAAUAUUGGUCAAUGGACGCAAGUCUGAACCAGCCAAGUAGCGUGCAGGAUGACGGCCCUAUGGGUUGUAAACUGCUUUUAUAUGGGGAUAAAGUGGGGAACGUGUCCCUUAUUGCAUGUACCAUAUGAAUAAGGACCGGCUAAUUCCGUGCCAGCAGCCGCGGUAAUACGGAAGGUCCAGGCGUUAUCCGGAUUUAUUGGGUUUAAAGGGAGCGUAGGCUGUUUGUUAAGCGUGUUGUGAAAUGUAAGAGCUCAACUUUUAGAUUGCAGCGCGAACUGGCAGACUUGAGUGCGCACAACGUAGGCGGAAUUCAUGGUGUAGCGGUGAAAUGCUUAGAUAUCAUGACGAACUCCGAUUGCGAAGGCAGCUUACGGGAGCGCAACUGACGCUAAAGCUCGAAGGUGCGGGUAUCGAACAGG
rnacentral:rRNA from 1 species